CGGCCCGAGGGGGCAGCGUGGAGCUCUCAUGGCCUUGCUUAGCCUGAUUCAAGGAGUGGAGUACACUACUCACAGGAACUAAAAAGAAGGUAAACUAUUCACAGCCCAGCAAAUGAAAAGGCAUGCUUCCCUGCAACUGUGUGCUGCUACUUCUGUAAAAAUGCAUGACAAAAUAUAACUCAAACAAGAUGUCUGUGCUACUUUGUGAUCCGAAACRUUACUGGAAAAUUCUGCAAAUAUUUGACAUUUAAACAGAUCUGUGUACAUAGUGACUGGAUUCCUUUGGCGGGAUUUGUGUUAUGUCUGCUGCACCUGGGAAUCAAACAGCAGUGGACCAGCUGUCCGGGAGUCUAGGCUCAGGUUAGGGAAACUGACUGAUAGGUUCCCCAGGCAUCUGAUAUAUGAAGAAAUUCCACCAAUGUGGGAGAAAUUGUGGUUGUUAAGAGUUUCACUUGCUCUGUAGCCCUUCUUUGUUGUUCUGUCUUCUGUCUCCAACUAGCUUGCGUAGUGCUGAACCCAUCCUGUUCCUCCACUGCUCCUCUGUCCUUGAUUUUACUUCAUUGAAUGGAUUCCCUUUCCGUUUAAAAGGUCUGUCUGAUGGUGUUUCUGGUAUCUGAGUGUGACCUGAGUGACUGAAGAAUUUCUUUUCGUGCUCUAGUCCUACGUUAGCUCUUUGGCUGCUUUAUAUCUAGCUUGGUCCACAGGCCUAGUGCAAAGUUCUCCUGAUAGAAGUGAAGGGAAAAUGUGCAUC